rnacentral:lncRNA from 1 species
ACAAUGUUUCAUUUAAGUGUAGGGGGGAAAACUUUGUUUCAGUUAUAUUUAUUUACCUUUCAAUAUUUCCCUUUCAAGUAUGUUAUUUCCCUUUUAUAUAUAAUUUAAAAAAUAAUAAUAAUAAUAAUAAUAAUAAUAAUAAUUUAUUUUAAGUCAAGUCCCUAGUGUGAAAUUUUUUUAUUAUCUAUUCCCCUCAAAUUUUUCUUGAGCCAUAACAAACUUCAACACAC